rnacentral:rRNA from 1 species
GACGAGUGGCGGACGGGUGAGUAAUGCUUGGGAACUUGCCUUUGCGAGGGGGAUAACAGUUGGAAACGACUGCUAAUACCGCAUAAUGUCUUCGGACCAAACGGGGCUUCGGCUCCGGCGCAAAGAGAGGCCCAAGUGAGAUUAGCUAGUUGGUAAGGUAACGGCUUACCAAGGCGACGAUCUCUAGCUGUUCUGAGAGGAAGAUCAGCCACACUGGGACUGAGACACGGCCCAGACUCCUACGGGAGGCAGCAGUGGGGAAUAUUGCACAAUGGGGGAAACCCUGAUGCAGCCAUGCCGCGUGUGUGAAGAAGGCCUUCGGGUUGUAAAGCACUUUCAGUUGUGAGGAAAAGUUAGUAGUUAAUACCUGCUAGCCGUGACGUUAACAACAGAAGAAGCACCGGCUAACUCCGUGCCAGCAGCCGCGGUAAUACGGAGGGUGCGAGCGUUAAUCGGAAUUACUGGGCGUAAAGCGCACGCAGGCGGUUUGUUAAGCUAGAUGUGAAAGCCCCGGGCUCAACCUGGGAUGGUCAUUUAGAACUGGCAGACUAGAGUCUUGGAGAGGGGAGUGGAAUUCCAGGUGUAGCGGUGAAAUGCGUAGAUAUCUGGAGGAACAUCAGUGGCGAAGGCGACUCCCUGGCCAAAGACUGA